AGCGUGGGGCUUGGGCGAUUUGGUGCUGUGGUUCUCAGCUCAGACCUUGUUUCCAGUUGUCUCUCUCCAAGGAUUCCUAGGGAGCCAACACUUGCGGACUGAUGAAAAUUGUUGUUAACGUGCUUUCACUGUACAGACUGAUUUCUGUUCCUAAACCAGAUGAGCGCCAAGGAGAUGGUCCACUAGGGUUCGUUCAUUCCACUCCAUUCCUGUGCAAGCAGUUUUAAAUGCCUAGGAUAUUGACAAGGUCUCUGUCUCAAGUACUUUUUUUUCCCUAGUAGGACAAACGAUCUCUAAACAAUUUAAGAUGGUGUUGGCAAUAACGCACUGACCAGUAGGGAUGGACUGGGACUUCCCGAGGCAGCCAGAAAAGGUCUCUGAAGUCCUCGGACGAGGUGCCACACUGGGGCGCACUGGAGAAGAACUUUGCCAGAAAGAAGGACCAAGAAAAACUCUGAGGCUGGAAUGAAUUUGCGUAGUUGAAGGAGGCCGAAUGCCGAAGAGGUUGGAGCGUGGGUUAGCGUCUUGAGUUGGGGAGGCAGAUAAUGGUGAGAUUGCAGGAGGUUCUCGUAGGUUCCUGCUAAAGAGUUUGGGUUUCAUUGCCUGGGAAUGCCCUCUCCCAGUCUACUGCCUGCAGCGUGUGUAGGCAGACAAGUCCUGGCUGUGAGUUACGAAGGCAAGAGGGGAGGUGCAGAAGGUCUGGACAACAAAAUUACUAAACCCACGAGUAAUAAGUGUCCUGCGGGUUCCCUUCUUACCUCAGAUGCGGCCCAAAAGUGGUUGUGUGGCCUGGUGAAACAGUUGGAGUCCUUGAGCCCUGAGAAGCAGCAGCAGCAGGGUCAUUCGAAGAAUCUCAGCUAAUUUCCCAGUGAAUUCAGUUGCAGAUAAGGAUGGGAGAGGAAUAUUUGUCAAGUUUCUUGCUAUAUUGCCCAGGUUGGCCUUGAACUCCUGCUCAAGUGAUUAUCCUGCUGCAACCUUAUGAGUAGCUGAGAUUACAAACACAGCAAUGCUGGGCUACAUCUGCUUUUUAACUGUUGUGGUCGGAAAGUGACACAUGUAUAAAAAAAAAGUGCUCACUGCCACC